rnacentral:tRNA from 2 species
UUUUAUAUAGUUUAAAAAAAACAUUUUAUUUUCAUUAAAAAAAUAAUUUAAAUUAAUUUAUAAAUU